rnacentral:rRNA from 1 species
GACGAACGCUGGCGGCGUGCCUAAUACAUGCAAGUAGAACGCUGAAGGGAGAGCUUGCUCUUCUGGAUGAGUUGCGAACGGGUGAGUAACGCGUAGGUAACCUGCCUGGUAGCGGGGGAUAACUAUUGGAAACGAUAGCUAAUACCGCAUAACAUUGACUAUUGCAUGAUAGUUAAUUGAAAGGUGCAAAUGCACCACUACCAGAUGGACCUGCGUUGUAUUAGCUAGUUGGUGGGGUAACGGCUCACCAAGGCGACGAUACAUAGCCGACCUGAGAGGGUGAUCGGCCACACUGGGACUGAGACACGGCCCAGACUCCUACGGGAGGCAGCAGUAGGGAAUCUUCGGCAAUGGACGGAAGUCUGACCGAGCAACGCCGCGUGAGUGAAGAAGGUUUUCGGAUCGUAAAGCUCUGUUGUAAGAGAAGAACGAGUGUGAGAGGGAAAGUUCAC